rnacentral:tRNA from 1 species
GGCUGGCUCACUCAGUGGAGCAUGAGACUCUUGAUUUCAGAGUGUGAGUUCAAAUUCCACGUUGGCCA